AACGAACGCUGGCGGCAUGCCUAACACAUGCAAGUCGAACGAAGGCUUCGGCCUUAGUGGCGCACGGGUGCGUAACGCGUGGGAAUCUGCCCCUCGGUUCGGAAUAACAGUUAGAAAUGACUGCUAAUACCGGAUGAUGACUUCGGUCCAAAGAUUUAUCGCCGAGGGAUGAGCCCGCGUAAGAUUAGGUAGUUGGUGGGGUAAAGGCCUACCAAGCCGACGAUCUUUAGCUGGUCUGAGAGGAUGAUCAGCCACACUGGGACUGAGACACGGCCCAGACUCCUACGGGAGGCAGCAGUGGGGAAUAUUGGACAAUGGGCGAAAGCCUGAUCCAGCAAUGCCGCGUGAGUGAUGAAGGCCUUAGGGUUGUAAAGCUCCUUUACCAGGGAUGAUAAUGACAGUACCUGGAGAAUCAGCUCCGGCUAACUCCGUGCCAGCAGCCGCCGUAA
rnacentral:rRNA from 1 species